rnacentral:lncRNA from 1 species
GUAGGAUUCCUCGUCUCCUCCUGGUCGGCGCACCCUUGAGGGCUUGGCCCUCAAGGCAAGCCUCCUCCCCCUCCCUCCUAUAUAUAGUAGUGAUUUAGGGCUGAUUUGAAACUACUUUUGUCAUGUGCAACUCAACCCUAAACCACAUAGUUCCACCUCUAGAUCGGAUUUCUACGGAGCUCGGGCGGAGCCCUGCCGGAGUAGAUCAUCAGCACCACCGGAGCGCCGUCACGCUGCUAGAGAACUCAUCUACUUCUCCGUCUUGCUUGCUGGAUCAAGAAGGCCGAGAUCAUCGUCGAGUUGUACGUGUGCUGAACGCGGAGGUGCCGUCCGUUCGGCACUAGAUUGGAACGGAUCCUGAGACGGAUCGCGGGACGGUUCGUGGGGCGGAUCGAGGGACGUGAAGACGUUCCACUACAUCAACCGCGUUUCUUAACGCUUCCUGCUGUGUGAUCUAAAAGGGUAUGUAGAUCCAAAUCUCCUCUCGUAGAUGGACAUCAUCAUGAUAGGUCUUUGUGUGCUUAGGAAUUUUUUUGUUUCCCAUGCAACGUUCUCCAACACCGCUUUGGAGUUACCUGGGUCGUUGAGUUUUGUUGUUGCUGACCGUCAACCCCUUGUAUCUACCUUGAGUGUGUGUGGUGUUGGAUUGUAUGCUUGUUGCAUGUGGUUCGUUGAUUUAUUUAUAAAGCGGGGCAAAAGCGAGAAUGGCGUUUUGGCUCCCGGGAGCCAUGGAGGCCUUUAUUUUUGAAAAAUUCAAUUUCAAAUUUUUAUGGUUCAAAAAAUUAUGAAAAAAAUAUGCAUGUAUGUAAGGAUGUAACCGACAUGUGUGUAAAAUUUCAGGUCAAAAUACUUUAAAACGUGAUCUGUACAAAAAAGACAAAUUCAUGGUCUGAAAUGAUGAGUAGUAACAUGUGUUAAACAGCCUCAGAUUUGUCUUUUUUGCACAGCCCUCAUUUCAAUGUAUUUUGUUCUGAAAAUUUACACACUUAUGUAUUAUAUCUUCAUUUAUCUAUGUAUUUUUUUUCAGAAUUUUUUGAAACAUUAAAAUACAAAUUUUCACUGAAUUUAAAGUUUAAAUUUAAAGACCUCAAGUGAGCUCGGGAGCCAAAAGCAAUAUUCGGGCAAAAGCCUUUUUCAGUAAUUAAGUUGCUUGGUCAGGUCGAAUCGAUCUCAACGUGCAUUAUAUAUUUUUAUAUAUGGUAAAAGUCAGAAUCUUGAAUGAAAAUGAAAGACAGGUUUUUAACUUCUCGUUACAAGGGUUGAAACGGAUAAACAACAUGCUCGAUGGUAGACACUGGGUAAAGAUGGGCUAGAACCUAGAAACUAGUAGUAAAUUUUCGUGGCUCGAGCCUGUAAUAGCAGCGAGAAGAGGGGAAGAUGAAAUGAAAGAAGCAACCGACAUAAUCAUUGUGACUUUCUGCCUAGUAAUAGUAUCCAUAGAGGCCCUUAUCAUUUAAUUUUUUCCAAAAUUCCUCAUGAAGUCCGAUAAAUUUUAUUGAUUAACUUGAUUUGUGGCUCAGGGGAUCUUAGUUGUCCAAAUUAAGGCAGGUUGUUCAUUUUUUUCUUUUUAACACGAUACACAGGGGCGGACCCAGACAAAAUUCUGAAUGGGGGCACAUCAUUUGACUAGGGGCACAUCUUCUAUAAAUGUGCUGACUUUGAAGUCUUUUCUUUCAAAAUAUGCACAUAUACAAAGGGAAUUCAAAAUUUUGAAUGGGGGACUGAGCCCCCACUCGGCUGUACUUGGGUUCGUCCGUGACGAUAGAAAGCAGAUAUUCAGACUAUGCACAUACGCCCAUCCCUAUGAACGCAUGCAUGCACACCCUUCUCCUAAAAACAUCUUGAAAAGACUGAACCGGCGCAUCACGUUGAAAGACGAAAUUGCCAUAGAUGCCUAAGGGAAUGUCUACUCCAAUGAUUGCACAUCAUCGGAAGGUCUGAAAUAAAUUUUUAAAAAUACAAACACCAAUGUUAAAUCUAAACUUGGAUCCUAAUUAAUUAAUCGGUUGAGAAUAUCAUUGUCAUCCUAACCAUGUAAACAUAUGUUGUUCGGCCGGUUGUUCAACUUCAGACAUUCCAUAUUUUCAUCAUUUUGGCAUGGCGGUAACAAUCAAUAUGACUUAUGUUGUAUUUCUCAAAUGAAACUUACUACCUGUGUAAACUAAUAUAAGAUCAUAAGGGAAUAAUUUGUAUGGCACCUGUGGUAAGUUAUCACUAUUCUAUAAGUAAAGGAAGCACUACAGUACUUCCUUUGUUCCUAAAUGUAAUUCUUUUAAAAGAUUUACAGAGCAAAAUGAAUGAAACUAUAUUCUAAAGUAUCUCUAUAUACAUUCGUACGUUGUCUUUUAAUAAAAUAUCUUAAAAAGAUUAUAUUUAAGAACGAAGGGAUUAUGGUAUUAGUUCACCUGCAGUCGCCAGUCGGCCUGACUUGAAGUAAGAUCUGCCAGCUUUUAAGCCGUGCAGUCAAGGAGAGCCUGCUCCACAUUUUUCUUCCUUUGAUUGGGCCAUAGAAAAUUAGUGCCCUGCGAGGGGCAAAGGCCUGCUCCGAUCCGCAUCUUUAUUUUUCCUUCGACUAUGCGGUAGCAAAAAAAUGCACAAAAAUAAUACAAUAUUCUCUUUGUAACCUACGCUUUGAUUAGUCCGACUUGUUAAAUCCUAAGGCUAGCCAUAGUGGGGAGUAACAUAUAGUAGCAUAUGAUACUAUUGUAUGAUGAUACCUUUAUAGUGUAUAGCAUCAUAAACUAUUAGGCUGGCCAUAAUGGGGAGUAUCAUAUAAUAGUAUCAUGCAUAUAAUAUUAUUGUAUGAUACCACCUCCAUAAUGCAUAAUAUCGUAAACUAGUAUCAUAGAUGACCUCAUUUAUUGACAUGCAUGACACAUAGUAGCAUAACAUUUAACAUGUUAUGGUAUCUACCUAUGUUACACCAACCCUCUCUUUCUUCUUUAAUUGUGUGUCACAUCAGCAUGUUUGCUAGUUCCAAGUACAUGAUACUACCUAAAUUACUCCCAUUAUGGCCAGUCUUAUCAUAGAUGAUCUUAUUUAGUAGCAUUGCAUUUAACAUGAUACGGUAUCUACGUUACUUUAACCUUCUAUUUCUUCUUUAAUUCUCUACCACAUCAGCAUGUUUGCUAUUCCCGAGUAUAUGUUACUACAGUAGCUAAGAUACCACCACUAUGACUAAGAGGGUGUUUGGAUACUCUCUAGUCAUGUGACUAGUAGUAGUCAGACUAGAAGUUUGUAGUCAGGCCCUGUUUGGAAGGUGACUAUUACUAGUCAGCAUUAAAUGUCUCAGUAUUAAAUUAUUCUCUCUUCCUUACAUUUAUCUCCCUUCCAUUGGCGUGCCCGCAUGGGAGGAUGAGCCCGCAACAGGAUGGGCCCGCCAAUUAAUUAGAGAAGAGACUUUAGUCAGUAAAAGUUGAGGAUGGGGUGACUAGGGACUAAAUUAGUUUUAGUCACCCAUUAGUCAGGGGUGUUUGGAGGUUUACUGACUAAAGGUGACUACUACUAGUCUCUAGUCUCUAGUCUCUANNNNNNNNNNNNNNNNNNNNNNNNNNNNNNNNNNNNNNNNNNNNNNNNNNNNNNNNNNNNNNNNNNNNNNNNNNNNNNNNNNNNNNNNNNNNNNNNNNNNNNNNNNNNNNNNNNNNNNNNNNNNNNNNNNNNNNNNNNNNNNNNNNNNNNNNNNNNNNNNNNNNNNNNNNNNNNNNNNNNNNNNNNNNNNNNNNNNNNNNNNNNNNNNNNNNNNNNNNNNNNNNNNNNNNNNNNNNNNNNNNNNNNNNNNNNNNNNNNNNNNNNNNNNNNNNNNNNNNNNNNNNNNNNNNUCUAGUCUCUAGUCUCUAUUGAUCCAAACACCCUCUAAUACUUCAGUAAGUGGUGCAUAAUUAAAUGGAAGUGAACGAGGGACUGCAAUGAUGAAUGCGAAAAAGCUCACCCUCCAGGAUAGUAGCGCAAGAAGCUCUUGGAGGGAGAGAAGAAGGACAGUAGGGCGAGACAGUUAAAAACUCGACCUAAUUCGCCGGUUGAUCCAUUCUUCCUCAUCCCAUCGACGGCGGUGAGCUCCAUGACUACAUAGACAACCCAGGACGACGAUGACAUAGUUUUUGUGUUUCCAUGCUUGGCAAAGUGGGGCAGUCCAUCCUAUCAAUACUAAGGUUCCCUUCCCCGGCCAAGCGAUUUGAUCAGGCACAGUUCUUUCGACUAGGAUCACCAUCUUGGAAAAUCAAAUAAUCACAACCAUUCCCUACCCGCAACACCAUUAUCUCGUUAGAUUCAAACAUGCCAUUGGUAUUUUGACACAUUAUCUUAUUCAUUCAUCAUACGUUGUACGUCAGAAUAACCUAAUUUUAUUCUCCGGGGCGUUGCAUUUCGUUCCAGUUGCUUAGCGAGCCACAACCACAAUUACAGUGGACAAAUAAUAAUACAAGUCAAACAACAAUACGAUUAUUUCAUCUCCAGCAGUGCCUUGAAGGUCAUCGGCGUGGUGUACUUCGGUGGCCCGUAAUAGAAGGCGGCGGCCGUCAGCUUUGCCGCCUUGUCCGUCAUGAACUCUGGGUCCCAUAACCAGUACUCGUCCGGGUUGUCGCCGUCCGGGUAGCCCCACUUGUUGCACGAUCCCAUAUUCACCAUCCCUACACGCAUAACAACAACACAACUAUAUAUAUAUAUAUAUANNNNNNNNNNNNNNNNNNNNNNNNNNNNNNNNNNNNNNNNNNNNNNNNNNNNNNNNNNNNNNNNNNNNNNNNNNNNNNNNNNNNNNNNNNNNNNNNNNNNNNNNNNNNNNNNNNNNNNNNNNNNNNNNNNNNNNNNNNNNNNNNNNNNNNNNNNNNNNNNNNNNNNNNNNNNNNNNNNNNNNNNNNNNNNNNNNNNNNNNNNNNNNNNNNNNNNNNNNNNNNNNNNNNNNNNNNNNNNNNNNNNNNNNNNNNNNNNNNNNNNNNNNNNNNNNNNNNNNNNNNNNNNNNNNNNNNNNNNNNNNNNNNNNNNNNNNNNNNNNNNNNNNNNNNNNNNNNNNNNNNNNNNNNNNNNNNNNNNNNNNNNNNNNNNNNNNNNNNNNNNNNNNNNNNNUAUAUAUAUAUAUAUAUAAUCAAACAACAAGGCAUAAAUCUGUUGCCGGCCUCUCAUGAUCAAGUAUGUGUCGACGGGUUACCGUAAUCCGCUGGGUUGGCAAAGACGGCAACGGUGAAGUCAUGGUAGUUGCCGAUGGAGUAGGAGAAGUCUGGCUUCUUAGAUGCGAUGCCGGCCAUGAGGGUCUUGAGUGCGGCGUUGAAGGCGAUGGCCCGGUCGUUCAAGGUCUGAUCACAACCGCCGUUGUUGGGGGGCGGUGGAAUGCAGCCGAUGAGACCGACGUUGAUGAUGGCCAGCUUCUUGGCACCCAUGUCGUAGAGGGACGUGACGGCCUCCCCGUAGCUCGGUCUGCGGCGACGGGUAGACGAGGUUGUGGUUCCAUGUCGGGUCGAGGUCCUGGCUGCCGAUGCUGAGGAGGAAGACCGACUUGGACAGGACCUCUCGCAACUUGGCGUCGUCCGCAAUCUUUGCUUCCAUGCAUCUGCGCCCUUGUGUCCCUCAAGUACGCGAGUUGAUCCCACAACGAGAUGCACCGCUCUCCGUUCUACAUGCAUGCAUCUCACAUUUCAUCUCUAUUUGGAUUGUUGCUGAUUUGAUUUUGCACGAGUGCAAUUUCAUCGAUUCAUGCAUUUUUUUUUUUGAGAAAUGGAUACAAAACACCUAGUGGAUUUUCGAAUCCCGGCACCUGCGGAGGCGUAGUUGGCACCCCACAUGUUGACCCCACCGUGAAGCGACAAGUAAGCUGGAGGGCUCUGCUGGAAUCCGAUAGACGUUGCUGGACACAAUGAAACCAACCAAUCAAACAAACAUGGUUGGCGAUGAAGGGAGAAGAGAGGUAUGUGUAUGAUGUGUUUGGCACUUGUGUAGCCCCGUUGCUGAACCUGCCGCUGCUAGAUCGGGAGACUUGAGGCGGGAACCCCUCCUCCGUCUCUACGACGGGCAUGUACCCAUUGUUACCUACGUCCAGCGCCCCGUCGCCAAACACGAACAUGCAUGGCCGGCGGCGGCACCGGCUUUACCUCGUCAUCUGCACCAGCAAACACACGCAAAUCUCACUACGAAGCAAGAUUUGAUCAAAGAGAGUAGAAGCAAUGACCCGGUCAAAAAAAGAAUACAACUAAUGCUGGAUGUAUACAUGAGCGUGCUAUAUAGCUUGUGUUGUGUGUGUUUCGGCAAUAAGGUUGUUGCAAACAAAAGCAAAAUAAAAGUCGGCAAUAAGAUUCCCCGGCCAGCCGGCGCCGACCAAGUGCCGGAUAAGACAAGUUGUGUCCCCAAAUUGUAUAGCCUAAUUAAGCUGGUACCGAUCAGGUCAAAUCUCAAUGCUCAUAAGUGCAUUCAUCAUGUAAAGUACGAGUAUCUAGGUUGCGUGUUAUUCGUCCGGCUGGGUUACUAAUCUUCCUCGUAGUUUGGGUAAACAUUGAUCAUAAAUUCAACUAAUAAAAUGUACUCCCUUCAUUUUUUUUUAUACAUGGCCGCAAACUCAGAUUAUAGAUAACGAGAUAAAAUUUAGAGUGAAUUCCGAUUUUUACCCUGUAUUUUAACUUUUUUUUAAUACUAAUUACCCCGUUUAGUGAGAUUUCAUCCAUUUUGCCCGAUUUAAAACUUUGCGAGCCUUUUGUCACAUCGACUGUUCUUCCCUACCUAUUUUUCUCUCAACUCAACUGGUAAUCGCAGCUUCUAUCGGUUGGUCCCAACCUGAUGGAGGUCGCUCACAUUGCGCCCAACGCACAAGUGCCUAGGUCGUCUGCAUGCCACACUUGCCCCAAAUCGUUUGCAUCACAGGUCCAUGUUUCCGCCCGCAAGCACCUGUCAGGCUCGCUCGAACCUAGGGUUUGGGAUUGUCAGGCCAUGACGACAACGGUGGCGGCGCGAUUUCAUACCUCUUCGAGUAGGGUUGUGUGGUCACGACAUUGAGGCAAGAUACGGCCCCAUGAAAACUGACGGCUUCAUCGAGCUCGCCGACGUCGGCAUGGGCGUGUGCAUGUACGUAACACCACCAGACUAUGCUCAGUUGUUCUUUCUAUUUUGGCGACAUAGUAGGACCCCGUGAGGCUUGCUGAGUUGAUGGCGGGUCUAUGGCCUCCUCAUUCGUAUCCUAUUUCAUAUAACUUUGACCAUCACUAUCAUAGCAAUUUAUAUAUUUUGAAAUUUUCCCGACUCAUACAUUGACGGAUGAGGCGUUUGAUUCGAACAAAAUUAAUAUGCUUAUUAGAAGAUCACAUGUAUCCUUAUUGCCUGCAGCUAGCCAUUGGGCCGCCAUCGUAAUUGUGUCUACUACAAAGUGUGCGACCUACUAGAAAUAGACAGCGAUGGCUUUUAUAAUGGUUCGUUUUCUUUUCCUGGUUUUACAGUUUUUUUUAAUUCAUCUCUAUUCGGUAUUCUCCGGGUUUUUUCUUUUCUCCCAUUUCUUUUCUUUUCUGUUUGGUUUUCUUAUUUUGUUUCUUGGUUUUUUUAUUAGAAGAUCACGUAUAUCAUGUACCUGGUUUCAAUACAUAUUCAUUUUCUUUUGUUUCUUUUCUUCUUUCUUCCCUGAUUUUUAUUUUGUUUUCCCAUUUUUCUGCAUUUGAUUCCUUGGUUUUAUUAUCAUUUCUUUUUCUAGUUUCUUUUUUUGGUUUUCUUUGCUUUUUUUCAUUGUACAUUUUUUGUAUAUGUGAACAACAGUUUACUGUUAUAUGUUUAACAUUUUUUAAACGCAAAUUUAACGAUGUUUAAUAUAUGGUCAAUAUUGAUUUCUACACAUUUGAACAAAAUUAAAUACUUGAUUAACAUUUCUCAAAUACAAGAUACAUUUUUUAGUACAUGCUCAAGAAUUUUCCUAUACACAUGUUUGAUUAAUAGUUUUCAAAUACAAAAUUAACAUUUUCUAAUACAUGAUCAACAUUUUUCCUAUGCACAUUUAACAUAUAUUUCAAAUGCUUGAUUAAAAUUUUCUAAAUGCAAUAUUAACAUUUUUUGAACACAUGGAAAAUAUUUUUGCUAUACACAUUUAACAUUUACCAGAUGCUUGAUUAAUAUUUUUUAAAACAUGUUCACCAUUUUUGUAUACACGAUAAAAAUUUACCAUUUUUUAAUACGUGGUCAACAUUUUUCCUAUACACGCAUAACAUAUGUUAAAUGCCUGAUUACCAUUUUUCACUUACAUGGUUACCAUAACUAUACACACAUAACAUUUAAAUGCUUGAUUAACAUUUUUCAAAUACUUGUAGAACAUUUUUCCAAAUACUUGAUCAACAUUUUUCCAAAUACUUGAUCAACAUUUUUAUAUACAUUAUUGAGAAAUGGCAUCAUUUUUUAAUACAUGAUCUACAUUUUUCUAUACAUAUUUAAGAUUCUUCAAAUGCUUUGUCUAACACUUUCUAAAUGCUUGUUCAACAUUUUUUCAAAUUCAAGCUUGUUCUACGCGGACGUGUGCGGUGCCAGCCCCAAAGAUCAGCCUUGAAUUAGUAGCACACAUGAAAACUUUGCUGUUGCUGCAUCGGCGCGCACUAGAUAGCUUGCUGGACUCAAAAAAAGCCUAGCUAGCUUGCUGUUGAAUCAAUCGGGCACCGCGCCCAUCUGCAUCUGCAUCUGCAUCUAUAUGGAUGGACCAUUAUAUAUGCAUGCAUGGUCAAGUAUGUGGUACGUUUGUAGGUAGGUAUGAUACUGUGUUGGGACCUCCUAUUGGACGCAUUCAACAUCCAAUAGGAUACAUUCACACAGGCAAGCUACUGGGCCGCCGCCGCUAAUAGGCGACUGGGCUAGCCAGGUAACGAGCUCGUUUUUUUUUGCUAUUUAUUUAUUUCCUUUUUACUUUUUUUGUCUUAUUCUUUAUUUUCUUUUGUGUUUCUUUUUCUCUUAUUCCUAAAAGGUUUUAUGUUUUGAAUUUUUUUGAGUUUCUGAAACUUAAUCAGCUGUUGUAUUUACAGAUAAAAAUUAUAAAUAGAUUUUUUUUUUGAAUUUCAGAAGAAUUUCCAAAAACGCAACAAGUUUGAAAACAGGAUCGUCUUAAAGCAUAGAAGAUUUUUUCAAAAAGUACUUGUUAAAUGAUUUGUAAACAAUUUUUGAAGCGGGAACUUUUUUUCAACUUAUGUAUACUUUUUGAAACAUGAACAUUUUUGGAACUUACGUACAUUCCUUGAAAAGGUAAACAUAAUUCUGAAAAUGUAGAACAUUUUAUAAAAUUCUUGAACAUUUUAAAAAUUGGUGAGCAAAGUUUGAACAGCUUUUCAAUUGGUGAACGGACUUUAAAAAAGAGAAACAUUUUAUGUAAAACAAGAACAUUUUUAUAAAAGUGUGAAAAUAACAACAUUUUUUUUAAAUUCAACCAAUUAAUGCAAAACAUUACAUUUUUUGAAAUAUGUAAACUAUUUUUGAAGUGAAAACAUUUUUUCAACUUAUGUACACUUUUUGAAACACUGACAUUUUCUGAACAGAUGUAAACUAGUAGAAAAGGCAUACAUUUUUUAGAGAAAGAAGAUUAAUUUUAAAAAGUUCCCAAACAUUAUUAGAAUUGUUGAAAAAAAUUGUAACAAGUUCUCAAUUUUUGAAUAAAUUUUUAAAAAUAGAAAAUUUUCUUAUAAACAGUACAAUUUUUUAUAAAAAUGCUAAAACAAGAUUUAUUUUUGAAAAUUGUGACAAAUAUAUGACAAAGGGAACAUUUAAAAAAAUUUGUAAAUAGUUUUUGAAGCGGGAACAUUUUUUAAACUUAUGAACAAUUUUUGAACAUGAACAUUCUUUGUACUUAUGUCCAUUUUAUAAAAGUAAAUAUAUUUUAUAGAAUGAAGAACAUUUUUAAAAUUGGAGAACAAAAUUUGAACAACUUUUCAAUUGGUGAACAACGUUCUAAAUAAGAGAAAAAAAUACGUAUAACAGGAACAUUUUUUAUGAAAGUGUGGAAACAAGAAUAUUUAUUAAAAUAUCGACCAAUUUAUGAAAUAAAAGAACAUUUUCUUUUAAUUUGUAAAUAAUUUUUUAAGCGGGAUCAUUUUUGAACUUAUGUACACUUUUUGAAACAGGGGCAUUUUUGAACUGACGUACACUUUUUGAAAAGGCAAACAAUUUUUAGGAAAAGAAGGACAAUUUUUAAAAUUCUCAGACAUUUGCAAAUCAUGAAUAUUUUUAGAAUUGGUGAACAAAAUUGGAACAGGUUUCCAAUUUUUGAAUAAAUUUUGAAAAAGAGACAUUUUUCAUAUAACAGUAAUAUUAUAAGAAUAUUUUUUAAAAAUUGUGACCAAUUUGUGAAAAAGAAACAUUUUCUGAAUUUUUUAAUGAAAUUUUGAAGGAGGAACAAUUAUUCAACUUAUGUACACUUUUUGAAACACAAACAGUUUUAGAACUUACGUACAUUUUUUGAAAAGGAAAACAUAUAUAGAAAAUAAAGAACAUUUUUUAAAUUUCAUGAACAUUUUUAGGAUUGGUGAAUAAAAUUUUAAAGAAAAAAUUGUGAACAAAAACUAUAAAAGAGAAACUUUUUUUUUUGUGAAACAGGAACAUUUUUUAUAAAAAAUGGAAAGCAAGAAUAUGUUCUGAAAACUCUGACCAAUUUAGGAAAAAGAAAAUUGAAAACACCUGCAAUUGUUUUAAUAGGAUAACAAUUUUUGAAAGACGAACAUUUUUUUAAAAAUAGACACAUUUUGGAAAAAAGGAAAAUUUGUUACGAACUAAAGCAAUGAAUAAAAGGAAAAGCAACAAUAAUAUUUUUGAAAAAAAGGAACAUUUUUCUGAAAUCGCAAGUUUUUUUGAAAAUGUUGAACAUUGCUGUAAAAUCCCAAACAUUUUUUCAAUUUAUGAAUAUAUUUGAAAAACGGCAUUUACUUGAAAUUCAGAACAAUUUCAUAAAAGCAACGAUAUCUUAUGAAUUUCAAAAACAAUUUUCAAACAUACACUUAUUUAAAAAAAAUCAACAUCGAAGAAAAGAAAAAAAUAAAACAGAAAAAGAAAAAAAAAAGGAAAAAACGAAACCGAAAAAAGGACAAAAAAUGUAAAUAACGAAACUACGUGCAGAGGAAAAUGGGCUGGCCCAUUUGAUCACGCCCCUGUGCGUUUGUCCGACUAUUUGAUACAAGGUGCGUCAAAUAGGGUUUUCCGUGCUGUAUGUUAGCGAUGGAUGGAGCCAUUGCCAGCCACCAUAUGUCCAUGUAUGUAUUGGGCCAUAUAUGCAAAGUCCGGCCGAUCCACGACGUAGGUAGAUACUCCUCGGCGAUAAAGACGUACGAUGCGAGUGCCGGGGUGGGUUCUGGGUUGCAUAUGUAUAUGUACUUCAGUCCUGGCCCUGCACACUCGCUCGCCUUCUGUUCCAUGUCCGAGAGUUCACAAUUCCAUCCCAUCAUUGCAUGCAUCAUGCAUCGAUCUGAUCAAAGGUUCAUUUGUCCAUGAUAAUUCGCUACGAGAAGUUCCUUGAGCUCAAGGUACACUACCUGCUCAACCCCUCUGUCACCUUUACUCAAUUGUUUGUUUGGAUUUAUUUAUUUUUUGAAACGGAGACAAAAUAUUCGCCUCAUCUCAAUAAUCAAGAAGAGUUUUGAAUAGUGUCACUUGACGCAAACGAUCUGUUUGUAUGGUGUAAUGUACAUGUGCAUGCAUGCGUCUUUGUGUUGCUCUUGUCUCUUUGCUUCUUGCAUUGAGCGUCGACUUUAAGUUGUGCGUACGUGUUCUUCUUCCUUUUCUUCUUGUCAUAGACGGAACGUAUCAAGUGUUCACUUUUGGGUAGUACCGGCCGUUAUCAAGUGUUCACUUUUGCUUUGCGAUCAAGAAACACCUACCGUACUAGCUUAGUUGUCUUGCAUGGUCAUCACGUUGUUCGACCAGACUUGUCUUCCAUGCAUGCAUGCAUGCAUAUGUACUACUCUUAUUCCCUUCGUUUUUAAAUACAAGAUUUUUUAAAGAUUUUACUAUUAACUAGCACAUACAGAUGUAUAUAGACAUAUUUUAGAGUCUAGAUUCAUUCAUUUUGUUCCGUAUGUAGUUUCAUAAUAAAAUCUCUAAAAUGUCUUAUAUUUAAGAACGAAGGGAGUACGUACCAACGGGGUGGGCCAGUUGGCGCCGAAAACGUUUGAUGCUACAGUUCAUACAAUUAAUUAGGCCGAACUUAGCGAUUCAUGGAUGGCUCAGCUCACCAGCAUAUAUAUAUGACGGAUGAGGGAUUGCACAUCGACCUCAAAUGCAUCUACGUGAUACACUUAAACCCGUGCUAUAAUUUAUUUUCCUAGUGAAUGCAUGUGCGUAUGUAUGGAUGUCUGCGUGUGUUAAAAAAGAAUGUUCGUUACCAAAAAAAAAAUGUACACUUCACUAGCGUUUUCAUUUUGGUAUUCAAAAGCGUGCAUUUGAGCAGGUCACGAGCUGAAACUCCAUGCCAGGCGUGUCAUUUCGAUCGAUCGGUCAACGAUAGAGAGACGGAUCAGCUUCUCUACCCUUUAAGGUAAACUUGGGUGUAGACAAAAGUAGCAUAUAGUAGUGGGCUAGUAGCUAUAGGCAUGCAAAAGCAAAUGCAUACAAAACAUGUAUCCAUGGAUCACAAAGAGAGUCACACCUGGACCUGCUGUGUCGUCUUUAAUUUGAACCUAAUUCAGUGCGUGCUUUGCAAGCUUGCAUGGAGCGUUGCACGUCACCACAUGUGUCCAUGUCACGCACUACCACUACAAACUGUUGACGAGUCGCCCGUGCAGUUGGGUAGCUUGGCCGUCUCGAUCGUACGUGCACACACCACACUCUGCGACUGACACAGAGCCGGUAAGUUUAAUUCCAUAAAGUUAUAGUCCCUCCGUUUCAUAAUAUAGUACGUCCGUGCUUUUUACGAUUUAAGUUUGAUUAUAAAUUUAACUCACGUAGGCAAUUGCGACGGGAAUACAAAUUAUACCGUUAAAAACUUCUUUCGUAUAAUUUUUUUCCUCCCUCCACAGUCGUCUGCGUUGGUUAAAUUUAUAAUCAUAGUUAAAUCUCGAAAAACGCGGUCGCAUUAUAUUAUGCAACGAAGGAAGUAUUAUUUAGCGCGUCUUUGGUUCACAGAAUUUAGAGCCAGACAAUUCAGUUAAUCGGGUACUUGGUUACCCUACGAGUAAUGAUUAAUCGGUAAAUUAACCGGUUAAUCGAAUGAAUUCUUGAACAAAAGGAUUGGAGUGCAUGCCCAUUUGAAUCCUAUAAGAUUAGCAAGGAGUGUUUGAUGUCACAGAAAAAGCAAAUGAAUUAUAAAAGGCUAAAGUGAAUGUUAGAUUUUCUAUGAGUGUAGCACAAACGAAUCAACAGAAAAAAAUAUCCUAUGUGGCUCAUUCCUAUGAAUCAAAGAAGCCCUUUGACCAUUGCGAUAAGAUUCCAAUCCUUUAAUUAUUUUAGUCCUAUGAAUCGGAAAAAAUAAAUCCUAUAGAACAAAUGUGAUUUCUUUUAAGAAUUUAAAUUCUUCAAAAAUUCUAUAGAAUUGCUUUCAAUCAAAGGAGCCCUUUGUCCACUGCGACAGUGAAACUCUCAAAUGGUACUACUCACACACACAAAAAAACGACACAUGAUUUUUCUUUUCAAAAAAUAUACUACCUCCGUCGGAAAAUACUUGUCCUAUAGAUGAAUGUAUCUAGACUUAUUUUGAUUAUAAAUACAUCCAUUAUAUCCAUUUUUAGGACAAGUAUUUCCGAACGGAGGGAGUAGAAUAUAUGGGUACAACAUGCUACGUGCACUAAUCCUCCUCAACUUUAGUGUCUUUAUUUUAAUAUCUCUACAAGUAGGAGUACAGUAUACUAUACUCCCUCCGGCCUCCGUUUCUAAAUAUAAGACCUUUUAAAGAUUACACUAUAAACUACAUACAAAUGUACGUAGAUAUAUUUUAAAGCGUAGAUUCACUCAUUUUGCUUCGUAUAUAGCUAGUCUAUUAAUGGAAUCUCUAAAAUGUUUUGUAUUUAGGAACGGAAGAAGUAGAAAAGAGUCUCCAUGCAUGUGUAAAUCUUCCGGUGACGAAAUGUUUCAAGCGCAUGCAUACGUCCUCUACGGUUAAUUUUAAAUUUGUUUGGCUCUCCCCAGGUUCAAAUUAGAUGCAUGGUUCGCCAACGCGACGCAGCUUUCGAGGCGAUAAAGGACCCCAAACGCAUAUGCCAUGAUCAAAAACGAAAAGAGAGCUCGCUCAUCGUGGUAUGCAAAUUAAAGCUGCCUGCCUUAAUUUCCGUGCCGGCACGCAUGCAUGCAUGCAUGAGAAACGAUCAAGGGCAUCGAAUUCAGUCCAAACCCUUUUUCCGUUCGAACAAGAGAAUAUACUCCUGAUUUUGGUGUCCGGUUGUUCCCUUGGGUUCGGACAGUAGCGACAAUGAACUAAGCAUAGUAUGGUCAGAUCAUAUACUUGUUCAUCCCUUAUUACGGCAGAUCAUAGUAUGGAGGCACGCAUAGUAGCUUCUUCUGUUGUUUCUUCUCUCUCAAAAAAAAGUAGCUUCUUCUGUUGUUGUUGUGUAUUCUACGGGCAACCUAUACCUAGCCAAGUACUAAGAGAUUAUGCGUUACAUAUUCAAAAAAUUACACCAUUGUAUGUGCAUUCAAAAUUUGUUUCGAACGGUGGGUCAUAGCUUUAUUGAUGGUUAAAGUUUGACUGAAAAUACGAGGGGGUCAUGUAUGUAUACCGCAGGAACAUAUCCAGUGCACUGCAGCAUUUGUUGCUACCAGCACGCCGACCUUCGUCACUUCACUUUAGAGGCAUAAAUAAAUGAUGAAAAACUGGAGUAUCUACUAUGGUACAAUUUUUUAGACCCAAAUUCAAGUCUUUUUAGAGAUUUAUUAUGAAUUACAUACGAAGAAAAAUGAGUGAAUCUACAUUCUAAAGUACUCCCUUAGCCUCAAAAUAAGUGAUUUAACUUUGUAUUAACUUUAAUGCAAAGUUGGGUCAUUUUUUAGUUAUUUAUUUGGGAUGGUGGAAGUAUGUCUAUAUACAUCCACGUGUAGUUCAUAGUGGAAUGUCUAAAAAACUUAUAUUUAGGAACAAAGGGAGUACAUAUGAAGACCGAACGAUGCCUUGAGUUCGGCCUGUUUGCUCUAUCAUUGAUGAAUCUAUCAUUUGCAUUUCUUAUACUAUUUUUCUAAUUUAUGUCUCAGAUUUUGUACUACAAUGUAUAGAUUUUUUGGAGUUUUUUUACAUUUGCAAACUGUUUUCCUUUUAAUCAUACGACCGUUAGCACCAAAUAACCCGGUGCACUGGAUACUUUGCAUAUUAACAAGUUCAGAGUAGUCCAAGUAUAUGUGGUUUCUUUUUGCGGAGAAAGAAGUCAAAAAUACGCAGGUGGACAUGGUUCUAUGCACACUCACGUGAAUUAUAAAUUCAAAAACUUUAAGAAAUAAAAUCUGAAAUUUGGGCCUAUCAAAUUUGAUCAACCAUUCUACUCAUGUUUGAAGUUUCGUUAAGGAUUGGCACCGGAGGUAUAUUUUGUAGUGAAGAAAAUAUAUAAUCUGACAUUAUAUUCCUUCAAAUUGUGUUUUCAAAUAUAGUUUGAUUUUGUCUAUUUUGCCACAAAUCCCAUGGAUGUCAUUUCUUCAUGAAACUUCAUACACAAGCAUAUCAGUCGAUUCAUGUAUGUCAUAAAAAAUCAUUUUCAAUUUUUCCUAUGAAUGUACUAUUCAUAAGGGUUCCUAUGGAACCAUGUUCCACAAAUCCGCGUUCCAUGGAACAAAUUUUCCUAUGGAACAAUCUUAACCAUGUUCCACAAAUCCGCGUCCGGAAAGAAGAAGUGUCAUUUUUUACAACUACUUUGAAAUGUAAUUAUUAAUAGCCAUGCAAACAUAUAAACAAAAGGGGUUUUCUCUGAGGAAAAAGAUAUCAUGUAUGGAUUAACACAACCAAAGGAGUAGCAUAUUGGGCAGUACUGUCAACCAUAUACUAUUUGUGUGUUUGGUUGCUUGCAUCGAUUUUGGCUGCAUUGCAUGUACUUCUUAUAUGGGCCCGCUUGAGGAAAAACAACCUCUAAACUACGAUCUCCACAUAGUUUGGUUGCGCGCAUAUAGGUUAGUUGCACGAGGAAACUAAUUUUGACACGUUGUUUGGUUGGCUGCAUUGCAUUAGGCACACAUAGGACACGUUGUUUGGUUGUAACCUACAUUUGAUGCUCUCAUCACUUUUCACUAGUGAUGACCUUAUCACACACAAUCUUAACCGUUUCACUCCUAACUACGAAACAAUUCUUAGCUACUAUCAAUUGGUAGUAAAUAUUAUUAAGAGUCGUAUGGCUGAAUGGGAGAAGUUCAUGAUCGAUGCUAACUAGAUGGACUUCCAUCCUCUUCCUCUUCUGCUACUACUGCUAGUUCUUCCUCUUCCUCUGCUUCUGUUGUUGAUGCUCCUUCUGCUUCUUCCUCUUCUUCUGUUACUACUCUUGCUCUUCUUCUUCUUCUCGUCCUUGUUUGACCUAUGUUAUCCCACAUUACAUCUAUCUAGUCCAUGAUUCUGUUCUUCCAGGCUUUGUUGGCAAAUGCAUCCACACCAUGGCCAUCGAUGUCAACACCGUCAUGCGUCACAACUUCCUCCUCGGUUCACCAGAUCAUCACAACCAUGUUGCAGGAUCUAGUUAUGCAGAAUGCAACAAGCAAGAAUAAGCUUAACCUGAGUGGGGAAAGUAUGGAAUGACUUUCUGAUUCGGGGUCUUAAACAUGUUCUUUAGAGCUCCAUAUGACAUCUCAACAAUUACUCUAAGACUGGAGUGUGUGAGAUUGAACGGCUCCUCUGAAGUCCUAGGAUAGUUCCUACGAGAGAACUCAUUCAGAUGGUACCUGGUUUUCCUAAAGGGUGAAAAGAUACCUGACUGACAUGCAUAGCUAGCAUCUCCUAGGUAGAACUUGCCAUCAGGGGUGUUGAUAUGCCAUCAGGACAACUCAUGUUGCCACUGAGUAUGUUAGCAUCAUGUGCUGGCCGUUCCCAACCGACAAGCACAUAUGUGAACUUCAGAUCGAAGUGAACAGAAGCAAGGAUAUUAUGGCUUGUGUACUGCAGCAUAUUCUGACCUCGGCACUCUCGCAUUGACAUGAGUACCAUCUAUUGUCCUAAUUCAAUCUUGAAAUGACAAUACAAGAUUGUGUUAGUGCUCACCUUGAACAAUCCAAACAUAUCAAGCCAUGGACUACAUGUUGUUAGUGCGCAUCUUGAAGUAUGUAUACCAUCUUGGGCUAGUGCGAACCUUGGUAGGAGUCCAGUCGGUUGGUACCUUGAUCACCUCUCCACUGAGCUCCCCAACAACAUAGCGCACUUGCUUGAAGUAAUUUAAGAUGGUCUUCAAUGAUUUAUUGAACGUGUUGUGUUGUGGAUAACAGUGGUGUAGCCAGGAUUUUAUGUCAGGAUGGUCCAAUUGGCACAAAAUAAAAUUUACACCACAAAUUUAACAAACCAACACAUGCACACAGAAUAUAUCCAAAGCACAUAUCAAUAAGGUCUUGCAAAGCAUAUUAAAAUUCAUGUUCAAGUCUUACAUUUGCAUAAAAUAUGACACACCUUAUUUGUCCUGCAUCAGAACUCUCUCUUGCACUGACUCUAAGGUUUGUUGUUCCUCUGCGGGCGCUACCAGUGUCGAAGAAGGAGGUGAAAAAGGAGCAGCCACCUUCUUCUUGGAUCCAUAUCUCAAAAAAAGUGAUGCAAUGUCUCCUGUCCGCUUCAUUUUUGCAACAGUUCUACAAAAAAGUUAAUACAUUAAUUCAGUUGGAACAACGCCCUAAUGAUUCAAUCGGUUCAAUUGACAAAUUAUCAAUUGCAAUUUUUUUUAAAGCUUGCACUCUCAACAAAUCGUUCAAAUCUUCAGACCAAAAGGAAGGCGUUCUUUGAAUUAGAGAAGAACAAAAAUCUUACGGGGCUAUACACAGUCGGUUGUACGCAAUGGUCGGCUGUACACAACCUUACGGCGAAUGGUCGGCGACUCUUGGCUUUGUUGACUUCGAUCGCCCCCACAAGUGAUUCAUCGGAAGAGAUGUACACAGUUGUUCUUUGAAUUAAAAUCUUACAGGGUUGUACACAAUUUUACGGGGCUUUACAUAGUUGUUCUUUGAAUUAGAGAAACACUGGUCGCCGUGGUCGGCUGCACCUAUGCGUGCGCCUCGUCGGCCGCCUGGACGAGUGGACGGGCGUCCUUCGCCGGCCGCUUGGCCGUCACUGUCGGUGGGUGCCCUGUUGAAGUGUCGGCCUUGCGCAGUUGCCGCUAGGGUUUCUAUCGAGUAGACGAGACGACGAGUCGAUGAGGAGUCUGAAACGAUCAGCGCAAGUUGAGACGGAAGAAACGAGGCAAGGCUUUGCAUGUACAUGGGCUGACCUGACUUGGGCCUAGAUAUGUUUAUUUUUUCUAGAGAAGUACUAAACUAAUGGGCCAAAUUUUAGGGUGGUCCAUGGACCACCCUGGCCACCCUACAGCUACGGCACUGGUGGAUAACACUGAACCUCUGGUUAUGACCAACAACAUGAAGAAAGAUGGCCACUUGAUCUUUCACACUGGUGUGGAUGCUCUCUUGUAGCAGCCGCUGCUCCUGAAGGUUUGGACAAGUCUGGCAAAUGGUUAUCUUUUCAUUCAAAGCAUUCACAGAGCCUUUGCAUCAUUGCAGUUGUAGAUAUUGUUUAGAUUGACGAUCCUCUCCUGCUCCGGCAUAAAGAUUGAAGCAUAAGUGAUGAGAUGAUAGGUCUAUGUGUGCAUGAACAUGGGCCAUGCGUGGAUCACACCUAUCAGUGGUGUUGCGUGAACUAUCAGUCGCAUUCGUACGCCCAUAACAUAUCGGUGCCGUCGUCGUUUGCUUGUUUCCCUGGCAUCGAAGUCCGCGCUUCUCAACCUAUAAACAGUUCAAACACAUAAGCCUCUUCUUUUAGACUAUGAAACGGGAGAACCAACCCUAGAGAAGAAAUACUUAGAUGCUUGCUUUUCCCUUGACCCGGCACUAUUCUCAUUUCCACUUCCCCCCAUAAUGAUAUCAAGAACGGGCCCUUGCUCGAGAGAAUUCCCUUUCCCUAGCCUCCUUUCUAUCUCCCGGCAAGCAAAUAGGCCUUUCCACCUCAACCUAUGAACCAGUCAAGCAAACUCCAAUCCUAAGAAACAAGGGAAGAUAUUACGAGAACCCAUCCUUUCCUGAUGCUUAUCCCAUCCUAGGCAGUACCACACCACAAUUGCAAGCACAACCACAAGCACAACACAAGUGGACAAUCAAAAGCAAUACAAACACAUGCAUGCCAAGAACUAUCACAAGUCUUCACACACAGGCAAUGGAAAUGGAUCUGAUCUCAUGCUCAUGGGGGGAGGAAUCCUACUAGAAUAACAAACAAGAAAUAGGGAUUCCAAUAAGGAAGUAUGACUAGUCCUAUAUAGAUUACUAGAAAGAAGCAGGCUUUCCAAUGACUAUGACUAUCCCUACAAUCAUGGAUACCUCUGCUAAGCUUUACCAACACAAAUCCCUACCUACUAGAAUACUGUCAUGACUCUACCAGCUACCUAUACAUUCCCUUUCACUUGCCUCAACACCUUGAGCUUGAGCUUCCUACCUUACACUUGCUACCUCUACAUAUACCUCCUUUGCCCGCCCUCCUUUACCAUUCAGUUUCACUAGAAGCAAACCUUUCCUUGAGCUUUCGAUAUUUGAAUUAGGGGAUACAUGAAUUCGUAAUCCUCCUUUCCCGGCUUAGGGCUAUCUUUUGUAAAGGUACAGAUAUAGGUUCGUAUCCGGUUUAUGGGCUCUCCCUGAAAGAGUGAGUAUAGAAUGGGUGUUGGGAUUUCCUUGAGUCGAAAGGUCCCUAGCAAGAUAAGUCAAUGUAGUAGUAGCCCCUGUAGAUCACUAUCUGCAUAUCCGGUAUUGGAAUCGGUAAAGCUUCCUUCGUUGAAAGACGGGGUGGGAAGGGAUGUGAUCUCAUUUAUUUGAUUUUAGUUGUGGGUAUAUCCAAGUAAAGUGCUUUUGUUGACUACUUUCCUCAAAUAACUAGUCGCUAAUUCCCAAUCCUGGUCGAUCAAUCGAGGAAAGAUCGGAAAAGAAUAGCAAAUAAUUCCUCGGUUUUGGAGAUAAGAGCUGUGUAGAGCAGCAGUAUUGAGCAGUCUUAAAAGAGCCAAGAAGAGCAGAGAAGUAGUUGAGAAGUAAAGGCUACAGGUGCGGGAUCCUUCGAAUUCGAAUAUGAUGAUGGGAAGUGAGCUGUCUUCUUCCUAAAGAACUAUAACCAUAUCCUCGAAAAC